rnacentral:lncRNA from 1 species
AAACAUUCAAGACAAUCUGCUCCAUUUGUUAUCAGGAGCCACAGACUCGGAGAAGCGGGUUGUGUGUCUGUCAGCGGAGAACGAGAGUCUGAAACAGAGUCUGACUGUCACCCAGGGCCUCCUGCAGCAGCUCUCUGUCAUCCCCUCCCAGUCCAGCUCUGUACUCAUCAAGGAGAAUGAGAACCUGCGCAGUCGGGUGCAGCAGCUGGAGAGUUCCCUGCAGCAGCGGGCUGAUCAGUUGUCUCACCUGGAGCGACAGAGCGAACAAAGCGAGUGGAGGAGAGGAGAGGAGCAGAGGAGAAGAGAGGAGAGAGUGAGGGAGCUGCAGCUAGAGCUGGAUAAAGAGAGGGCCAAAGAGCCACAGGUCAAGAUUGUCACUCAAACUGUGGAGGUGGAGUCACCGGCGACGCUGAGGCAGUUGGCUGAGGCCAGAGAGAGGAACGAGCAGCUGUCAGAGAAACUGACCAAUCAGAACGAGAAGUGCAGACAACUGGAGGAGCACAUCAGGAAGUCAGAUGAAUUCAGCUGUAAUCUGCAACACAAGAUUGCAGCGUACGAGCGGGAGAUCAGUGUGCUGCAGGAGGAACUGCUGAAGGAGAUAGGUCACCUGGAGGAGAAGAAGGAGGAGGCUGUAAAGGCUGCAGCGACCUGCUCCGUAG